CUGAGGUGGUGGCAGCAAAGAAUAUACUAUAGAUAGCAGCUAUCUCAGUACUAAACAGUAAGCAGCUGUUAAUAACAUGUGAAUGGUGUUGGGGUUGUUAUUAAAUUCAGAAAUGAUGGAUUACGAGAAGCAAGGAUGUCUCCAUGAUAUGUUCAUCCGGCAGGCAGCAAAAACACCUGACGCAGUUGCCGUGGUAGCCGAAAAUGGGAGGCAGAUGACGUUUAAAGAAUUAGAUUAUGUAACUGAAGUGUUAGCGUACAAUUUAAGAUCGAAGGGCGUGCGUCCUGAUGCAAUCGUUGGUAUUUACAUGGAAAAAUGUAUAGAAUACACUGUGUCAUAUAUCGCAGCAUUGCGAGCAGGUGGUGCCUACAUGCCGAUGGAUACUUCAUACCCUCAACACCUAGUGGCAGAUAUCCUUGAAGAUGCAGAACCUGUUGCUGUGCUGACUAAAGAAAGCUUUGCCAAGAACUUACAAGGUGCAAAGAAUGUGAUUUUGCUGGAGGAAGACUGGCUGGAACACUUAAAAAAUGAAAAUGCCAACAUGAAGCCUACAGAUCAAGUUGAAACCACGCUUGAUAACUUGGCUUAUGUCGUCUACUCAUCUGGAACCACAGGCAAACCAAAAGGUAUUAUGUGUCCUCACCGUGGGGCAGUCUUCUCGUACACGUGGAGACAUGAGAGCUAUCCAUUUGAGCCUGACGACCGUGUCGCAUCAAAUGUUUUCUUCGUUUGGGAGAUGUUCAGAUCACUAUUGAAAGGAAUACCUCUGUACAUCAUCCCGGAUAAAGUUAUCUAUGAUCCACCGCUGUUACUGGAGUUUUUAAAGAAACACAAGAUUACAAGAAUUCUGUUGACUCCAUCACUUCUGGAGACUGUUGUUGACACAGGAAAAGAAGAUGUUGCUAAUUAUCUUCAACAUUUAAGAAUUAUUUGGCUGUGUGGAGAGGUAGUUACCACUUGUUUGAGAGAUCGAAUCUUGGACACAUUGCCAUGGAUAAAGCUGUUGAAUCUUUAUAGUAUUUCUGAGUGCCAUGACGUUGCCGUCAGCAACCUUUCCUUAGAUAAAAAAUCUGAGACAGCAGAUAGCAAGCGCAAGUAUUGUCCAGUCGGUCAACUGUUGCAAGGUGUCCAGGUGGUAAUUCUUGAUGACCAGUUGACCAGUCAGCCUGUGGGUUCACCUGGGGAAAUUUACGUGGCAGGCCCUACAUUAGCCCGGGGCUACAUCAAACGCCCUGAACUGAAUGCGAAGAGGUUUAUUGAACGACCCCCAGGGGUACCAGCGUCUGUAGGAGACAGGUUGUAUCAAACUGGGGAUUGGGGCUACAUCUUAUCAGACGGUAACCUUGAGAUAUGUGGACGCUGUGACUCAAUGGUUAAGAUUAGAGGAUACAGUAUAGAGAUCCAGGCUGUUGAGUCCGCCUUGCUUCUUCUAUCGAUGGUCAACAAUUGUGUAGUACUGGUCCAAGGGGCUGAAGGCGAGGAUAAAUUCUUAGUGGCUUAUGUUGUGCCAGAGGGCAAGACCACAAAGAAAGAGGUUCGAGCUGAGCUAAAGACUAGGCUUCCCAAUUUCAUGAUUCCGUCAUAUUUUGUCUUUCUAUCAAGUAUUCCAAUUUUGCCAGCAUCAGGAAAGUUAGACAAGAAGGCUUUGCCGCCAUAUAUUGCAGAGCAGCAGUUAAAUGCCGGCCAGGAAGGGACUCCCUCUACCGAGUUUGAGAAAAAGCUUGCGAGUAUCUGGUGCGACAUCCUCCAGUUGAAAUCCGUAGAUGUUCAGGACAAUUUCUUUGAUCUUGGAGGACAUUCUUUGUUGGCAGCUCGUCUACUAAACAAAGUACAGAAUGCAUUCCGUGUGAAGUUGACUGUUACGGAUCUAUUUAAUUAUCCGACGGUCACAAGUAUGUCACAGUUGCUAGAAGAAUGUCGGCAAAAAUGUCUAAAUUCAAGGAGUUUUGAAAUUUUACACCCAAUUGUUGACCUUGUGGCAGAGGUCAAAAAGCAUGACCAAGGCAUUAUGCGACUUGAUAUGCAGCUUCGUGCAUUCUGGCGUUCCAUCCAGUAUGGAGAUCGUUGGCAACGAGGGCGUGUGUUACUUACUGGCGCUACUGGAUUUCUUGGAGCGUUUAUUCUUCGUGACUUAUUGUUAAAUACACAGACACAUAUUUAUUGCCUUGUGCGAAGAUUUCCUGAUAUGACUGGCAAGCAGCGGCUCCUUGCUGCCCUUAAACAGUUCGGAAUUUGUAAAGAUUCAACCCAAGAAAACAGGAGCACGUUCUUGAAAAACUUUGAGACCAGAGUCACACCAAUUACAGGUGAUGUGUCUCUUAUGAAUCUGGGGAUGAGUGAGGAAGAUUACACGUACCUCAGCCAUGAGAUUGACUUCAUCGUUCAUGCAGCCGCCUAUGUUAAUCUCAUAUAUCCAUAUGAUGCCCUUCAUGGAACAAACGUUUUAGGGACACAGAACACAGUUUUAUUUGCAUGCACAAACAAGAUAAAACCACUCCAUCACAUCAGCACAAAUAGCGUGUUCCCGCAUAACACUACUAAUUGCAUGGAAACUGAUGACAUGCAGAAGUAUGCACCAUUUCUAACCGAUGGUUACGGUCAAACUAAAUGGGUGGCAGAACAGUUGGUCCUCAGGGCCAAGUCACGUGGUCUCCCGGUCAUUGUUUACAGACUUGGGAACCUUUCUGGUGACUCCAAGACAGCCUUCUGGAACCCAAUGGAUUCAAACCUGUUAGCAAUACAAGGAAUUGCUGCAACUCUUUCUGCUCCAGACAUCAACUGGAAAAUAGAAAUGACUCCGGUGGAUUUUGUAAGCAGCGUUAUCAUUAACAUGACGCAGAAUCUGAUGUGCUGUGUCGGCAAAGUCUUUCACAUGGUGAAUCCUUAUCCCGUUGAGGCAGAUCAACUGUACCAAACUAUGAGAAAUUUAGGAUACCCUCUGAAAGUGGUCAGUUUUGAAGAGUGGGGUGAAGAAAUUGAUUUGCUCAGCAAUGGAUCGGAGGAGACUAGGCGAUUAGGUGAAGCCCUUGAUGGUGUUAACAAAAAUCCAGAAUUUUUUAAAGACAAUUCGCAAUUUGACAUGACUAAUUUAAAGGAAAGACUAGAUCAUUGGCAGAUGUCAUACCCGAUCGUUGAUGUGAAGCAAAUAAGAAUGUACUUGAAACAUCUGAUUGCUAGAAGAGUACUUGCCUCCCCCAAACCACAUCAAAGCACUGAUAAGCCUUUGCUUGGACAAGUUGCUAUAGUAACAGGUGCUUCUAGUGGUAUUGGAGCAGCAAUUGCAACCCAUCUUGCCAACGCAGGGGCCUCAGUUGCUAUAGCAGCCCGCAGAGAGGAGAAGCUAAAUCAACUGAAGGAUGAGAUUGAGGCAAACAAUGGUACUGUAUUUGUAAUGAAGACGGAUGUUACAAACAGAGAACAAGUAAAGCACUUUGUCUCUGAAACAGAGAAGCAAUUGGGACCAGUUGACAUAUUGGUGAACAAUGCCGGAAUAAUGUAUUACACAUACAUGAGGAGUAUACAAGAAGAUCAAUGGGAGAGGACUAUUGACAUCAAUUGCAAGGGUGUGGUGAAUGGUAUUGGUGCGGUACUCCCAGGCAUGUUAGAAAGGAAAAUGGGGCACAUCGUGAACAUGUCAUCAAAUGCAGGCCGAGUGGCUUUUCCUGGACUGGCUGUAUACUCUGGGAGCAAGUUUUUCGUGGAAGGAGUCUCCUCGUCAUUGAGGAAAGAGAUAGCAGGAACUGGAGUGAAGGUAACUUGCAUCCAACCUGGUGACGUUACCACAGAGCUCAUUGCCCACACAACAGACCAAGAGGCUAAAGCAGAGUAUGCUGAUGGUAGUGGAGAGAAAGUGUUAGAUCCUAGUGAUGUUGCGAGAGCCGUAGUGUAUGCCGUCAGUCAACCUUCACAUGUUGCGGUUAAUGAAAUUCUGGUUGAGCCAAGACAUGCUCCGGCAGUCUAGCUGAAAUACAUACUAGUUUAAAAAAUGGAGAAUAAUGAUUGAAACUGAACAACUUUAUACUUAAUUUACAUACACGAUGGUAUUAGGGAGCUUUUGAUUGAGAACAUAGAACGAGAAUGUAGAACUGAUUAACUUAUCUGUGACUGUUGUCGCACGUAUUGAACACCAAUGUCUAAUAAAGUACUUUCCCCUUUGCCUGAACGUGGAUUUGGCCGACAACUGUUCAAGUCUUCAAGAGAGAACGUUGCGCACAACAUUAAGACAUGCACAGUUAAAUUUACAUGACAUCAUUACAUUCUACGUUCUAUGUCACUGCAUAUCGAAAAUUCCCUAUUAUUGUAGGUAAAGGUAAAGGUAAGGUAAGGUAAAGGUAGGAGAUAACAUAACUUUCAGCAUCAUUGUGCAGAACUGUGAUUACCUAGCAGCUGUAAAGAGGCCUUCUUGGUAGAUACAUGUUCACAUCAUUCCACAACGACAGGGGCUGAAAUGAACCAUAACAUCGGGGUAACCCUCUACUCUUCCAAAAGAUGCAAUGGGUUCUUUAAAGUGCAAAUAAUAAUAAUAUAAUAUGUUAGAUUUAUAUAGCACUUAACGCCAACAAGACUUGGUUCUACCAACUGAACCAUGGACGAGGAGCGGCUGGAACCAGCGCCAAUGUUAAGGCUAUAGCUACCGGUGACCUUGCCUUACCGCUCGGCCACUCGACUCGCCAUUUAUCAUUUGUCACUUAAGUAUAAGAUAAGUUGUAAAGUGUAUAGUUACACACCAAAAUGUGUUUUAAUUUAAAUACAAACGUUUGUUUCUGUCAAAGUCAAAAUUGCAAUACACUCAAUAAUAUAUGUUAAAUUAUCUUCAUCAUUGGUAACCGGUAACUCCUAUAACAUGCUCAUGCAAUAUGUUCAAUAAUAUAAUAGUGUACGCCGCUCUAAUGUCCUCUAAUAUGCGCAAUAUGUUCAAUAAUUAAUUGUACAUAUAACAAUAAUAAUAAUUAAUAAUCAUUGUAUUUCUAUUAUGCAUAUAUAUUUCUACAUGAAAUUAUUAAUAAUUAUGUAACAUAAACGU